UGCAGUCGAGCGCGGGAGCGAGUGGAUCCCUUCGGGGUGAAGCUCGUGGAACGAGCGGCGGACGGGUGAGUAACACGUGGGCAACCUGCCUGUAAGACCGGAAUAACCCCGGGAAACCGGGGCUAAUGCCGGGUAAUACUUUUCUUCGCAUGAAGGAAAGUUGAAAGAUGGCUUCUUGCUAUCACUUACAGAUGGGCCCGCGGCGCAUUAGCUAGUUGGUGAGGUAACGGCUCACCAAGGCGACGAUGCGUAGCCGACCUGAGAGGGUGAUCGGCCACACUGGGACUGAGACACGGCCCAGACUCCUACGGGAGGCAGCAGUAGGGAAUCUUCCGCAAUGGACGAAAGUCUGACGGAGCAACGCCGCGUGAACGAUGAAGGUCUUCGGAUCGUAAAGUUCUGUUGUUAGGGAAGAACAAGUACCGUGCGAAUAGAGCGGUACCUUGACGGUACCUAACGAGGAAGCCCCGGCUAACUACGUGCCAGCAGCCGCGGUAAUACGUAGGGGGCAAGCGUUGUCCGGAAUUAUUGGGCGUAAAGCGCGCGCAGGCGGUUCCUUAAGUCUGAUGUGAAAGCCCACGGCUCAACCGUGGAGGGUCAUUGGAAACUGGGGAACUUGAGGACAGAAGAGGAGAGUGGAAUUCCACGUGUAGCGGUGAAAUGCGUAGAUAUGUGGAGGAACACCAGUGGCGAAGGCGACUCUCUGGUCUGUUUCUGACGCUGAGGUGCGAAAGCGUGGGUAGCAAACAGGAUUAGAUACCCUGGUAGUCCACGCCGUAAACGAUGAGUGCUAGGUGUUAGGGGGCUUCCACCCCUUAGUGCUGAAGUUAACGCAUUAAGCACUCCGCCUGGGGAGUACGGCCGCAAGGCUGAAACUCAAAGGAAUUGACGGGGGCCCGCACAAGCGGUUGA
rnacentral:rRNA from 1 species